AGUACCAGUUUGUCCCAUAAAUUAGUGUUAAAGUACCAGGUUUUUCCCUAUAAAUUAGUGUUAAAGUACCAGGUUUUUCCCUAUAAAUUAGUGUUAAAGUACCAGGUUUUUCCCCACUAGGUGCCGCUGUUCCUGCUGUUACUGCCACACUCUUUUAUACAUUUUGCUGGUCUCUUGUGUUGAUUAAAUGGACCUUUUUUUGCAACUUUGGGUAGAAAACCAAUAGCUUUUGCUCCUGAUGCAAAUAAAUGGUGUGGUCAUCCUCCACAAUUCAAGCCACUCCUCCACGAAAGACAUUAAAACACACACACACAAACUGUCCAGCUCUUAGGCUCAAUCUGUGUCCAGGAAACGGCCCUACCCUGUGUGUGUAGUUGAUUCCCUUCAGACCAUCGCUGGUGAACAUAAUAAACCAUUAGGCUCCAGCGGUUCCAAUGUUAUUGUCUCUAAUGGUCUUCAGUGGUAAAAGCCCCCCAAUUACACCCUGUAUAGUCUUUUACAAUGAUCAUGAUAUUGAGGUGGGUUUUUAAUGGUAAAUGUCACUAAUCAAACAGCCUAUAUAGAUGGAUAAAACGGGGUGUCGGCAGAAACAGCUUUCACAGUAACCAAUGUGUGUGGGGGAAAAAAUUCGGAUGACUUUGAUGGCGAAUUUCUCUGAACAGUUGAAUUAUUAUUUUAUUUUUUUAAAGGAUCACCAAAUUCCCUGAGAAUAGAUUAUGAUAAAUUAAGAAUACUUCAAGCCACAGCUUCAUUAUACUUGUCGAACAUAGAGAAUUGAUACUUUAUAAUGGCCUUUGAGGUGGGCAUGGUGUGUGAUUUAGGGUGUUCGUGGGGGGGGUAUUGACCAUGUAUUUGGAUUCCUCACUUCUUAAUCAUUGCAAAGAAGAAGUUUGGUCCAAAUUGGAUGUUGGGAACUAUAUUUAUAGAAUUUUGUAAGAAUCAUAUACACUUAAAUUGCUUAAUUCCUCAGAGUUCAAAUAAUCUUUCAACAAAUAUAAUGUUUCAGGAACGCUUAAACUUCUCUGUUUCCUAACUACAGAAACGAUUUCUGAAAAAUCUGAGAUGUUGGGUGUGGAAAUCUUCUUUCUUGUGCUUUUUUUGUUGUUGUUGAGGUGGAAGGAUUAAACUGCCUUAGGACACAAAAACACUAUUGGACAAUAAAGUGACUGAGGCGUCAAGAAUCAAAGAGAGUUGGGACAAGGAAACAGGGUCUUCUUCUGAUCGCACACGAGAGGGUGAUGAUUUAGCAUGAUCCAAAGAGCUCUGACUACUGCUCUAACCCCUACUGUAGACCAAUGUCCUGUGAGACGACAGUGAGUGACUUCAUCCCUGUCCCUGUCUCGUUCCUAGUUGUCUUUGCUGACAGCAGUGUGGAUUAUACAGGUCCAGUGUUUUAAUGGAGAGAAAAAAAAAAGGGCUUCCCACCAAUGGAUGAUGACCACGAGGAGGAACUUACAUAGGAUUGGUCUGUUUCAGAUUUCCAACUUCUUCCCCCAAUCGGAGCUUCUAGGAUUGUGGGGUUGUGCAAUGCAAUAUUAUAGAGCUCUUCUUCGAGGCCUCCUUUUAGACUGACAUUUUGAGCUAUGUUGUCAUGGUUAUGUACGAGGCAGCUUCUGUUGUCAUGGUUAUGUACGAGGCAGCUUCUCACCAAGACUAUAGUCGAUUGCGCCAUCUGAGGUUAUUAAGGCAAACAGCUACUUUAAUGCAUUAUUCGACAAUCUACACAUGCCUUAUUUCGUUUGUUUGUAUGAGCAACUAAACCUGUGUAGGAUUGGAAAAUUGCAGUAACGUUCCCCCCCAAAAUUCCCCAGCUUUUCCAGAAAUUCCAGGUUGGAGGAUUCCCAGAAUCAGGAAGGGAAAUAAGCAGAAAUCACAGAAUCUUCCAACCAGGAUUUCAGGAAAACAUGGGAAUUUGGGGGGAAAGUUACCAGAAUUUUGUAAUCCUAAACCUGUGUGAAUUAUUGGAUAUGAUCUCUCUCAGGAAAAUAAUUGUUGUUUCAUCAUGAAGGGGUUCAUGCUAAUUUCAUUCUAAUGUCUAGAACACAAACAUUAAUUUGUUGUUAUGGGGUUGAAUGAAUGAUUUUUAAGAUCAUAAACAUAAUUAAAUUAUAAUAAAAGGCAUGAAAUGUUAAGGUGACUAGAGGUCGCGGGAGACGGGUGAUGAAUUCAUGGUUGUUAAACUUGAGAUGGAUCUAUUUCCUGGUUUGCUUAUUGACCAAGAGGCAGCAACUCUAGACUGUACAUAACAGAAGAUUCACCUUGUGGCCUCCUGUCUGUGUAUACAGAGGCACAAAUUGCAAUGGCUUUAAAUAGAUGGAGGUCAGAGGUUGACAUUUUUGGGACAAUAUUGGGAUACAGGUUAUGUUUAGAAUAGAGGCUAUGUUUAGGAUACAGGAUAUGUUUAGAAUAGAGGUUAUGUUUAGGAUACAAGCUAUGUUUAGAAUAGAGGCUAUGUUUAGAAUAGAGGCUAUGUUUAGGAUACAAGCUAUGUUUAGGAUACAGGUUAUGUUUAGGAUACAGGCUAUGUUUAGGAUACAGGUUAUGUUUAGGAUACAGGAUAUGUUUAGGAUACAAGCUAUGUUUAGGAUACAGGUUAUGUUUAGGAUACAGGCUAUGUUUAGAAUACAGGAUAUGUUUAGAAUACAGGCUAUGUUUAGGAUACAGGUUAUGUCCACAAUGAAUAUAAUAUGUUAUUAUGCUGGUCUAUUCGACUCGAAGGACCAAUUUAUCUGAGAGGAAACUUACAGUUGAUAUUUUCCAGUUUGAGCAGAGCCCAGGGGAGGGGCAGGUUGAGACAGGGUAUCAUCAAGCUACUGGACUGGACCAUUCUCAUGGACACUGGUGAUGCACAAUAAUCCAUU